AAAAGUAGCACUUCAUGAAUUUUAAAUGAGGGAAAGUGUAUGCGUGUGUGAGAGAGUGUUCUUUGGCAGAAGCUUUUCCCUACAAUCUUUUUCCGACUAGUUCUUUCCUCUCUAGAGUAUGUCCUAGUCUGUGCUGCUGGCAUUGGCUGGAAUUACAGGUCAUAACCUGUCCUGCAGCGCUUGCAAUGAAGUUCUGAACAAUGUCAAAAGGAAAAUAACAAUAGACCUCAGUGUCUGGAAUUACUGAAGAAUUUGGCAAGUCUCUUCAAAAAUCUGCACAUAAAAUCUGUCUCAGAUGGGAAGAAUUGGAGAGAUUUCUAAAGCACUUGGAAAGGUUAAACAAAAGGUGAAUAAGACCUUGCCUGUAUACCCAUUGUUUUGGCAUGAAAAUUACUUAGAUGCCUUUGUUGUCUUGCUGCCAAAUAUUGACUUCACCCAAUUAGAAGAGCAGCCCAAUAAUAGAUAGUGGUGCUGGUUUUCAAGAUGCAGACAUCUGUCCUCUGGAAGUGGGGUACUAAACAGCUGUCAGUUGAGAAAUACUUCAGUUAACAAAUCUCCUUUUCUACAGAAAGACCUUUGGAAAAAAAAAGAAGGGGAGUCUGCAGCUUUUAAAUAUAAACAGAAGUUGGCUGUUCUCAUGCUGCCUGGGAGGCUUGUAGAAAUCUGUAUGUAGAAAGUAAAUCUUUUUGGGUAAGUCAAAGUCUGCCAAGAACAUGCAUGUUCAGAUGGGAGUUGACUCAUAUUCUGGAAUGUGGAACUGUAACACCACGGUUAUUUGGAUAGGUUGAAAAUUAUUUUGGGUCUGGUGCUCACAGUGAAGUGU